rnacentral:rRNA from 1 species
GCAUCGAUGAAGAACGCAGCGAAAUGCGAUAAGUAAUGUGAAUUGCAGAAUUCAGUGAAUCAUCGAGUCUUUGAACGCACAUUGCGCCCCCUGGUAUUCCGGGGGGCAUGCCUGUCCGAGCGUCAUU